rnacentral:rRNA from 1 species
GAUGAACGCUGGCGGCGUGCCUAAUACAUGCAAGUCGAGCGAACAGACGAGGAGCUUGCUCCUCUGACGUUAGCGGCGGACGGGUGAGUAACACGUGGAUAACCUACCUAUAAGACUGGGAUAACUUCGGGAAACCGGAGCUAAUACCGGAUAAUAUAUUGAACCGCAUGGUUCAAUAGUGAAAGACGGUUUUGCUGUCACUUAUAGAUGGAUCCGCGCCGCAUUAGCUAGUUGGUAAGGUAACGGCUUACCAAGGCAACGAUGCGUAGCCGACCUGAGAGGGUGAUCGGCCACACUGGAACUGAGACACAGUCCAGACUCCUACGGGAGGCAGCAGUAGGGAAUCUUCCGCAAUGGGCGAAAGCCUGACGGAGCAACGCCGCGUGAGUGAUGAAGGUCUUCGGAUCGUAAAACUCUGUUAUUAGGGAAGAACAAAUGUGUAAGUAACUACGCACGUCUUGACGGUACCUAAUCAGAAAGCCACGGCUAACUACGUG